rfam:Eutrema salsugineum unplaced genomic scaffold scaffold_5, whole genome shotgun sequence.
AUACCUUUCUCGGCCUUUUGGCUAAGAUAAGUGUAGUAUCUGUUCUUAUCAGUUUAAUAUCUGAUAUAUGGUUGCCACGGCCCAUGUGAUAUUAACUCUAUUUUUGUAGGGAGAAGGCCCAUCAAGAUAGCUUGCUAUCUGGGCUUUCGCGAAUCGCCUGUGUGUUGCACUACUGCACAGGCCCGGUUCAUCCCAC